UCAGACUAUAAGCUCCUACUUAGAUCAGUGUUCUUGAAAAUUCUCAUUUACUGUCAUUCCACUUGAAAAUUUUCAUUUACUGUCAUACCCACUUGGAUUUACUUAGAUUUUCUCACCCUUAGAUCUCAAUUGAAAAUUCUCAUUUACUGAUGCAAAGCUAUUUUCAACUUAUUUUUUUAUUUAUUUCUGAACUUGUAUUUAUGGAGUUUUCUUUUGUCAAACUUUCUUGGUUUUGCUUUCUUUCGGUGGCUUUUUUGUUAAGGAAUUUGUUGUGAAUAAAUUCACUUAAGGAUUUUUGUUUGCUUCCUUUUUGGUUUAUGAAGAUUUUUGGUAAUUUAAAAUAAAGAUUUUUUGUGUUGGGGAUUAUUCAGGCUGCUUGUAUGUUUCUCUAAGUACGUAGGUUAAGGGUGCUUAUUGAGAUUAACUAGAGCUGUCAAUAUAUUUAAGCCUAUGCAGAAACAUAGAAACUUGAAUUGUAGGCCUUCAAUUAAAACAUAUAAUCUACUUUUUACUGAAUUUUUGAGUCGAUGUCAUAAUACUUAUUUUUUCUCAAUUGUACUUGUGUAUCAAUUGAAGGUUUAAGACUUACAGGUGCCAUUUACUAAAAGGUUAAAACCUUAUGAUAUUUAUCUAGAUGCUCAGCUUCAUAUAGUUCUAAAUUAAGAUGAUCACUAGUGCUUACCUUUCGUGGUCACACACGGCUUAUAAAUGCUACAAUUAUUAGACAAUCAGUGAGAGAUCUCUUUAUGGGAGUUGAAUAACAAGAUAUCUUCUCCAAAAGAAGCUUGUGAUGCCUUAUGUCUUUUCUUAUCAAAUUCAAGUUAGGGCAUGGUGGAAAGGUUUACAAACAUGUAGAGUUCAAUAUAACCUCACCAUCACCACAAGCCAAGAAUUUGUGUUACAAGUAUGAUGUUUGGUCUAUCCUUCCAAACUUGUGACUUAAUAAAUAUUCUUGUGUUGAUAUGAGUUUACUAGUUUGGUU